GCCGAUGUGGUGGAAUUGGCAGACGCGCGGGACUCAAAAUCCCGUGGUAGCGAUACCGUGUGGGUUCGACCCCCACCAUCGGCACCA
rnacentral:tRNA from 1 species